GGGCUUGUUGGACUCUGAUCAUCAUCCUAAAUCUUGCUCUAAAUUUUUUAUGGAUCAAAUCUUGAGGCAUAUUUUCUAACAAUCUUUAUCUCGACUCGAUAUUCGAUCUCUAUCUGACUUUUAGAGCUUCUGGAUCUUCUCAUCCCUGCGCCUUGGGAUAAUCGCCUGCUACUCAUGGAUGGACAAAUAUGGGAGUCAAGCUAGGCUGCUCGAUCCUAUCUCCAUCAUAUGCUGUGCACCUCACAGCACCUCCUGACCUGAGAUCU
rnacentral:lncRNA from 1 species